rnacentral:rRNA from 1 species
UACGGGGGGAGCAAGCGUUGUUCGGAUUUACUGGGCGUAAAGGGCGCGUAGGCGGCCUUCUAAGUCGGACGUGAAAUCCCUCGGCUUAACCGAGGAACUGCGUCCGAUACUGAAAGGCUUGAAUCCGGGAGAGGGAUGUGGAAUUCCAGGUGUAGCGGUGAAAUGCGUAGAUAUCAGGAAGAACACCAAUGGCGAAGGCAGCUCUCUGGGACGGUACUGACGCUGAGACGCGAAAGCGUGGGGAGCGAACAGG